CCACGAUUCAACGCCCACCCGACGUUGUCACCAAGGGUGAUCUGCAUUGGUUUUAGACAUCAAUCUAUAUAGCCCCGGUCUUCCAAUCUAUGGUUGAGCUUUAUCUUCUGCUGGUAUGCGGCGACAUCAAGCAGAGUCAUCAUUGACAAAUGGAUCUGUUUAAGAUUGUUUGAUGUCAGGUAUGGACUUCAAUCAUAUAGUAAAAAGGCAAUAGGAGAGACACAUGAAACACAAUUUGGCCCUAAAGCAUAUGCUAACAAUGGGGUGUUACUGAUAAGCAACCUUGAUUUGGUAUAUGUGAGACAAGUUGUCAUAUAGUUCUAAGCAUGUUUCUAUAAA